GGUCUAUAAAUUGGUUGGGGCCAAGCCGCAUUAAGUUCACACAACAAUCUUGUCUUCCACCUUAAUUGUGUUGUUAAGAAAAACAUGGCAUCAUCCUCCAAGACUUUUCUUCUUCUUGGCUUUAUGUUAGCUCUUGUGAUCCUCAUCUCCUCUGAGGUCUCAGCUCGUGAGCUAGUGGAAACUGCUAGUCAAGUUGCUAGUAGACCCUAUUUUAAACGCGGGCCAGUCACCAGAUGCAGCCGUAAUCCGCAUGCUGUAUGCUCACCUAAAGGGAGAGGGUAUCGCUUCCCGCCCCCCGCCCCCCGCCCCGGGAGAGUAUAGGCACGACCAAGGCCACCAUGAAAAACCAGGACUUGGUGUUGCUGAGGCUGAAAGUGGGAAUUAAAUAGAUAACCCUUUUUCAGUGGAUAUUGCAGGUACUAUGUGGUAAUAUAAUAAGGGUUUGUUUUAUCAAUUAUAAAGGUUAAUGUAAUGUAUUGGUUGAGUUGUUAAUAAAACUCUCAAUCAUAAUUAAUUAGGAUUUUGAGGUUGAUCUUUGUACUAGUACUCAUAUCAUAAUGUGUCUAAGUAUGUGGCUUUCUAUCUUUAUAUAUGUUUGAAAUCUAUCCUAGCAAUUUCUAUCUUUA